rnacentral:rRNA from 1 species
AUUGAACGCUGGCGGCAUGCUUUACACAUGCAAGUCGAACGGUAACAGGCCUUCGGGUGCUGACGAGUGGCGAACGGGUGAGUAAUGCAUCGGAACGUACCCAGAGGUGGGGGAUAACGCAGCGAAAGCUGUGCUAAUACCGCAUGUGAUCUGAGGAUGAAAGCGGGGGACCGAGCAGCAAUGUUUGGCCUCGCGCCUUUGGAGCGGCCGAUGUCGGAUUAGCUAGUUGGUGGGGUAAAGGCCUACCAAGGCGACGAUCCGUAGCUGGUCUGAGGGGACGACCAGCCACACUGGGACUGAGACACGGCCCAGACUCCUACGGGAGGCAGCAGUGGGGAAUUUUGGACAAUGGGCGCAAGCCUGAUCCAGCAAUGCCGCGUGCGGGAAGAAGGCCUUCGGGUUGUAAACCGCUUUUGGCAGGAACGAAACGGUGUCCGCUAAUACCGGGCGCUAAUGACGGUACCUGCAGAAUAAGCACCGGCUAACUACGU